AUUCCUUUGAUUUUGGGGAAGAUAAAAGCAAGCAGCACUUUUAAUACAUGCUAGGGGAACGAACUCGUCCCGAACAGGUGAGUAAAGUUUUGGAACUAACCAGUUGGCACCAGCGAAGCUGGUGAUUGUAAAAUAUUUUAUAGCCAAUUGAUAGGCCAGAAUCGUAUUAGGUACAAGAGAAAAGAUUUCUCUAUCUUACCAAAGAUGCGUAGCCGAGGGGCCACACUUCCACUGAAACAAGGGGAAGACUCGCAAAGAGGCAGCAGUAAAGAAUCUUGUGCAAUCUAUGAAAGUAGGACACAGAGAUGUCGCACUUGUAAGGCCGUCAAAUAUACGUGCCAGCAGACGCGGUUAUACGUAAGGCCUAAGUUUUUAUCAGUAAAGGCGUAAAGGGUGUGUAGGCGGUUUAGGGGUAACCCGUAUAGAGGGUUUAAUGGGGUAAAUGGAACUCUUAUGUAGCGGUAGAAUGCGUUAAUAUAAACAAGAACCCCAGAGGCGAAAGCAAUUUACUAAUUAAACCUGCGCUGAGACACGAAAGUAAGGUUAGCAAACAGGAUUAGAUACCCUGGUAGUCCUUACUAUAAACUAUGAAUAUUAGAGGUGGUCAACCCCAGAUAACUUGAAGAAAUUCCGCCUGAUGAGUACGAUCGCAAGAUUCAAAUUCAAAAAAUUUGGCGGUUCACUAACCAAUUAGAGGAGCGUGUAGUUUAACUCGAUAAUCCGCGAAUAAUCUUACCAUAGCUUGAAUAUUUUCAUGAAGAUUGGAAAUACCGGUAUUGCAUGGCCGUCGUCAGUUUGUGUUGUGAAAGAAAUAGAACGAACUUAACCCUUAAUGUAAUUUGAAACUUACAAUUUGGAGGAUAACGUCAGGUCUUUAUGAUCCGUAUGUUUUGGGCGACAUAUGCGCUACAAUGUUUUACACAAAGAGGCUGAAGUAAGCUUUAAAGUUAAAUUUCGGAUUGGCCUUUGAAAUAGGGUUAUGAAGUUGGAUUUAAUAGUAAUCGGGGAGUAGUGUGUCCCGGUGAAUAUGGCUCUAGUGUUCGUACAAAUCGCCCGUCACCUCCACCAAGUAAAUAAUUCUAAAAUGUAAAAAAAGAAUAAAAGAAAAAAGCAAUAUAUUCAAUGCCGCCGUUAUAGGCCGAAUCUUUGAAAUCCAGUUUUACACGUUGAAAAAUUUAUAAGGUUGAGGAAGUCGUAACACAGUGAGGGUAUUGGAAGAUGCCCUCGGAUUAAU
rnacentral:rRNA from 1 species